ACAGAGGGUGCGAGCGUUAAUCGGAUUUACUGGGCGUAAAGCGUACGUAGGCGGCUUAUUAAGUCGGAUGUGAAAUCCCUGAGCUUAACUCAGGAAUUGCAUUUGAUACUGGUGAGCUAGAGUAUGGGAGAGGAUGGUAGAAUUCCAGGUGUAGCGGUGAAAUGCGUAGAAAUGUGGAGGAAUACCGAUGGCGAAGGCAGCUAACUGGCCUAAUACUGACGCUGAGGUACGAAAGCUUGGGGAGCAAACAG
rnacentral:rRNA from 1 species